rnacentral:rRNA from 1 species
CAGCAGCCGCGGGAAUACGUAGGUCCCGAGCGUUGUCCGGAUUUAUUGGGCGUAAAGCGAGCGCAGGCGGUUAGAUAAGUCUGAAGUUAAAGGCUGUGGCUUAACCAUAGUACGCUUUGGAAACUGUUUAACUUGAGUGCAAGAGGGGAGAGUGGAACUCCAUGUGUAGCGGUGAAAUGCGUAGAUAUAUGGAGGAACACCGGUGGCGAAAGCGGCUCUCUGGCUUGUAACUGACGCUGAGGCUCGAAAGCGUGGGGAGCAAACAGGAUUAGAUACCCCGGUAGUCCCUGUCUCUUAUACA